CCAGAUGGUGACGAGUUAUUGCGUGCUACAGUUUAGUUCUAAUGCCACUGUCUAUUAGUAUUUUCGGAGCAAAAAAACAUGAUAAAUUGAAGGUGCUCUAAAGGGGAUUUGAAACGCUAAUUUUGCAUUUCCGAGCUGGACGUGUUAACCAUUUACAACGCUAGAGUAUGCACGGGGAAUGCUAUAAUUCCUUGCAACUUAAGAAAAUAAAAUUGAAUAUUCACAGCAUUUCUAAAGCGUUCCUUCAAGAAUAGUAUGGAAUCUUUUAGGAAAUUUCGAGAAAGGGAAAGCACUGAAAAUUUCCCGGCUGCCGAGAAGAAAACUAUAUAAAACGAAAACAGCAUCAGCUCUCAGUUUUUAGUUCAGAGCUGACUUUGGAGUAAUGAGAGAUUUUCGUCCGAGCUUCGCUGUUUGGACACGCUUUGCAUUGCGUUGUGUUUGACGUUAUUAGUAGUUUGAUGUCCUAACUACUGAUUGUGCUCUUUUAUACUAAAGAGCUGUAUGUGUACUUUUGUAGAAUGUUUCAGAACUGUAAAA